GUUACAGAGCAAGACGUGCAAAUAUUAUUGAUACUGUAGUUAUCUGGUUGGUCGGUGUGGAGCCUAUUUUAAGAUGGGGACCAGACUGACCCUCAUGACACGUGUCACCUCUCAUGAUGUAGAAUAAUGCAAGAGCCAACCUUCGCUUGCGGAUGGCGGGAUAUGAUGAUAUUACAGGGCAUGACAGGGCAGUAUAUCAGGUUGACAGGGGCCGGCAGCAUAAUUUUCUAUUACCAUAAAGACCGUAGGAAAAAAUACCAUGUAGAGGGAGGGAUAAACAACUGGCAUCCACUAUUAGCAUUUAAUACUGUGUACUGCCUCGUUCAUCUGCCAGUGGCUUGCCAUCCUCUCACAGCUGCUCUUCAUUUCUCAUCAUUGUUUCUCUCAUAGGUAUUUUCAUAAAACUGCUUUGUUGGUUAAGGGCUUGAAAAAGAUGACAUCGAGUCGCAGUGGUCAUCUGAUGAGCUUGAUGCUUUUGAUUGCCCAUGACCUGCUGGAGGUAGAAGCAGUAAAGGAAAAGGCAGCGUAUGUAGAAGAUAACUGCUCUGCUCCCGGAUAUGCCUCGGGGUCUUCCUGAGCUGCAGGUAUCAUACCACUCUGACCAAUUUAUUCUCAUUUGAUCUGCUUUGAAUACCUGACUUGUGAAAUCACCCAUACAGUCAUACAAAAUCCUAACUUAAUUAUCUUCUGUGCUACAUGUUGAUUUUGCAGUAUGUGUUAAAGCUUAUUUUGGAUGGAUUUGAUUUGCAUGGAAACUAAAUGAAUUGAAUGAAAUUAAUCGAUCUUAAACUUCCUCCUUGAAAUCUGUGCAAAAAGCUGAAUCCGACCAUUGAGAGACACACUGUGUAGACACUGGUGCCACAUUGCUUAAAAAGUUUGCCCAGACCAUCAACGAGUUUGAGGACCAUAUAUACACUGCUCAAAAAAAUAAAGGGAACACUUAAACAACACAAUGUAAC